rnacentral:lncRNA from 1 species
GUGCAAGUACUUUUCCUUUGGAUUUCACAUACAUUGUUUUGAAUUAGAGUGCACUGAGAUGGAUCAUUUUGGCUCAACAAGCAAUGGGAAUUUGCCAAACUGGAAAAAACAGCCAGAGAUCAGCUGAAAUCUCUGUGGUGAAGCUGAUGAUGGAACUGCUGUGAAGAACAUUGUGCCAGUGACAAUCUUCAAGGAAGGCCAUGUACUGAAUUGUGACAAAGAUGUUCCUUGAGUCCCAUUAAAAUGCUGAUUAAGUACAAUCGAUUAGGAAAUGAAGAUGCUACGUUAAUGCUGUAACAAUUACUUUGGAGAUGUCCUAAUCACACUACUGCUCUGAAAGGGGGAAGAACUUGGCCCAAGGAACGUCUGAUUUAUACACACAAACCUUGUCACCCCACCAGAGCUGAUGCUUUUGUGCUAAGACCUGGCACUUCUCCAAGGAGGUGUGUCAAAGGUGAAGGAACAUGGCACAGAAGUAUCCUAUUGUGUUGUAACAGUCUUGUUGGAGCCCAGAAGGUGUGUCUCUGCCCUUAUAAAUACCGCACUGCCUUUACAAGUAGCUCCAGUCCUUCUGAGAGAGACGACCUGCAUCUUGAGUGGAGUUUGGAUACCUCUGGCUCCUGGGCAAGGUAUUUAUUUCAGCUAUCUUACUUUCACACCGUUCUACUUGUAACUGAAAGUUACUGCUACAUCAUUAGUUGCUUUAAUUUUUACUUGUUGCAUGUUUGUAAUAAUUGCAUAUUUGUAACUACCAUGUGGUGUUUUCUAAGGAGGGUUUUAUGCUGUGAAAAUCUCUUUGAAUAGAAUAAGGCAUGAAGCGAGUCAGGUAAGAGCUACACAGAAGUGGGACUUGCUCACGUCUGUUGCUAUCUAUGUGUUCUAUGUGCAGAAAGUUGAAUGCUGAAGUAGGCUCCUUAUUAGCAUGCCUCCACAUGAAUUUCUGCUUUCUAACUUGGCUGCCAAAAUGUGUGUGAUGGAAACACCUGAACAGUACACUUAGUACAGUAAAAGCCACAUUUAACCCUCAGCUAUUAUGGUGUGCUCCACCAGAGCUUUGAUCCUGAAAGCUGCUUCAUAGAAACACCUACAGAAAUAAAUGUAUUCUGUACACGGCAGCUUUAGG